rnacentral:rRNA from 1 species
AACGAACGCUGGCGGCGUGUUUAAGACAUGCAAGUCGCACGGGAUAAGACAUGUAGUAAUACUUGUUUUAUUUAGUGGCGCACGGGUGAGUAACACGUGAAUUACAUGCUCUAUAGUGGGGAAUAGCCCAGGGAAACUUGGAUUAAUACCCCAUGGUAUCGAAAGAUUAAAGGCGGCCGCAAGGCUGUCGCGAUAGGAUUGGUUCGCGCCCUAUCAGCUUGUUGGUGAGGUAACGGCUCACCAAGGCAAUGACGGGUACCUGGUCUGAGAGGACGAUCAGGCACACUGGAACUGAGACACGGUCCAGACACCUACGGGUGGCAGCAGUCGAGAAUAAUUCACAAUGGGGGCAACCCUGAUGGUGCAACGCCGCGUGGAGGAUGACGGUCUUCGGAUUGUAAACUCCUGUCAUCUGGGAGAAAGACCUGACGGUAAAUAGCCGGCAGGGUUGAUAGUACCAGAAGAGGAAGGGACGGCUAACUUCGUGCCAGCCGCCGCCGUAA